CCAGCUGUCCUGAGGGCUGGAGGCGCCAGAACCAGGGGCCUUAGGGGCAAGAAGGGGAGGGCAUGGGGUCAUGACAUGGUAGGAGGACGCCCCGCCCCCGCCUAGAGUGUGUGGCCGAGGGAGGGCUGGGUCUUCCCACCCCACAAGGUCCCUUGCACACUACCCAUCUGUCCAUCUGGGGUGUCCAUCUGGAAAUCAAGGGCGACUCAAUCUAGGGCGUCGGACUCCUUUUGGCUUGCCCAGGAGUUCCCAUUUUUUAGCACUAAAAAUCACACUUCCCAGGGAACGUUGAAGCCUGUGGUGGGGGUCACCUGAAGUGUACAGGAAGCCAACCAUGGUGCCAAGGGAGUCAGGGACCAACCAAAGGGACUUACCUUUGAAAAAGAAGGUUUCACCGCGGAUGUUGGCAAUGGCAUCAAAACUGCCCUCACAUCGAUCAGGGACAGGUGCCGAGGGGCUGGGUAGGAAAGCUGCUGCAGGCCAUCACGGUCAUCCUGGGACAGGCGGUACUUGUCAGGGUCACCCACUGGGCCCUGGUAGAAGGGCCUCAUAAUGGAGUUGGGUGCGGAGGAAUGGCCCAGACCCAGGGCGUGGCCAAACUCGUGAACAGCUACAGCAAACAGUUGAUGGUGCUGAUACUGGGUACAGGGAUGAAGAGACCCAAGAAUGGACAGAGGAAGAGUGACCUUACACAAGUGCAGCCCCUCUCUUGAAGGGAAGACUGCUUAUAGAAGCUCAGAGCAGCAAGAACCCUGGGUGCCUGUAGUUCUCUCCAGGAAAACCGUGCUUUGGAGCAUUCCCUCCUCUAAGAUCUAGUCCAUGAGCAGAGGUCCCUGUUCCCCAUCCCCAACCCAGGUCCCUCCCACUCACCUUUCAUUUCCUCUGCCCCUAUUCCUUGGCCCACAUUCCCACAUCCUCUGUCCCCCCUCUGCCAUCUCCCCUGCCCACAGCUCCCCUCUCCCCUCCCCCUCCCCCUCCCUGGAGUCCUUGCCCCUCCUCUCCCUGGCCUUGUUCCAUCUCCACAGGAACAUGGAACUCCCUCCAGUAUGCACUCUCAGACCACAGCCUCUCUCAGCCUCUUCCCACCACAGAAACUUCUUCCCUGGAGAUCCAGCUCCAGCGACUGAGGGCCUAGUUCCUCAUCGAUCUGCCUGGCUCCUGCUCCCGUCAAAGGCCCCACCCAGAAGAGGCAGUGACAGAGCCAGGCAACACAUCAGACAUUGCCUCACUGUCAUGGAUGCAGUCUCUGAUGAGCUGUCAAGCCCUGACAGAGCCUGAGCACCAACUCCAGCUGCCCCUGCCCCACUCAGGCUCCCCCCAGCAGCUCACAGACAAGGACUGGCAAUGCCUUCACUUCCAGGGAACCUGACCUAGGAAGGAGCCCAAGUCUAGAGCAUGAUUCUCAGUGCUUGUAGCAUCCGCAUGGAACACUGGUGCACGGCAAACAGGCUCCACACCUGCACUCCUCCCACCUUGGGCCAGCCUGAUGCCCUCCCCCAUGUGCACUAACAGCAGCCAUCCUCCAGGACCUAUGCUGGAUCCUGGAUGUCAUUACACACUUCUUGUCUCCUGGUCCCCAGAAUCCAGCCAGAUCUUUGCUCAUCCCAUCCCUCCUGGCUUCCCUCAGAUCCAAACCCCCACCCCAUGGCCCACCUCCAUCUUUUACCUGGACCCUGCAGCAGCUUUGCCUCCCUGUCUCUCUCUACCCCCUCAUACAGCCAGCAAUAUUUCUAGAAUGCAAAAUCCUUUGAUGGGGCUGGGGUUGUGGCUCAGUGGUAGAGCACUUGCCUAGCAUGUGUGAGAAACUGUGUUUGAUCCUCAGCACCACAUAAAAAUAAACAAAUAAAGGCAU